GCGACAAAGAGUGUGAGAGACACUCUCGCCGAAAGUCCAAGGGUUCCUGCUUAAAGCUAAUCUGAGCAGGGUAAGCCGGCCCCUAAGGCGAGGCCGAAAGGCGUAGCCGAUGGGAACCACGUUAAUAUUCGUGGGCCAGAUGGAAGUGACGGAUCUCGAAGAUUGUUCCUCCUUAUCGGAUUGGAGGGGCCGUUCAGAGGUUCCUGGAAAUAGCUCCAUCAUCAGACCGUACCCUAAACCGACACAGGUGGACUGGUAGAGAAUACCAAGGCGCUUGAGAGAA
rnacentral:rRNA from 1 species